GGCCUAUUUUGCGGCGGCGGAGCUCGACCGCCGGUUCAAACCAUGAAAGCCUUCAUCGACGAUCACCGCGAGGCAUACGGGGUCGAGCCGAUCUGCAAAGUGCUGCCGAUCGCCCCG
rfam:Acidisphaera rubrifaciens HS-AP3 DNA, contig: Asru_0572.